ensembl:lincRNA
CCUCCCUUUCCUUCUAACAUGAGCUGCCUCUCCUGACCUCAGAUGGCCUUGAUGCCUGACUGCUGUGUCCUGCUGGAGGAAUGAGGGCUGUAGGGUUCUUUCCUGUGUCAGGAGGCUUCCUUGCAGCAUGUGCUGAUCAGUUCCCAUCUGAUCCACCAGCUGUACAGAGAGGUCCAGGAGGCAAGGCGCUGAGACUAUCUGUCUACAGCUCUACAUUUGCUGAUGACCAUGCCAGCUGCCCACUUGAGAG